UCCUUUGUGUAACAGGCAGCAAGGAAGGUUUUAACAGGACUGUGUGACCAGUCUAGAUGUAAAUUUCAGAGAUACAGGAGGACUAUGAGGAGGAAGAAAAGCAGGAGGGAACAAGUUGAGUCUUCUUCCUUCAUCCAGGAUUCCAAAACAGGGGGAUGUGGAGAAAGGACAAUGUAUGCGAAAGCCUGCAGACGUGCACACAGUAUGGAACACAGUUACAGAAAUAGAGUGUCUGAGGCUCGCUCGACCCGCUGCGCCUUGGGAGAGAAGAUGAACCCCAUAAGGGGAGCCGGGAGAGAAGAAACCAGAUGAAUAUUCAG
rnacentral:lncRNA from 1 species